GUUUGGGUGAUGAUUUUAACAAUUUGUCGGAUACCCCUUCACUCGCCCUGUGAGUGAAAGCAGCAGUCUGACAAAC
rnacentral:snoRNA from 1 species